UCUAGUGUGUGAUCUGAAUGUAACCUAUGCAGGCGGAAACAGCGAAUACGAUCGUCGGCCAUUUCGUUCCUGGCUGUUUCGUCGUUUGGUUGGCGUCGGUAAAAGUCACCAACCAUGGUGAACGGAAGAAUUCCAUCGGUCUUCUCGAAGACCUAUGUUACUCCGCGGCGACCUUAUGAAAAGGCUCGUCUUGAUCAGGAGUUGAAGAUAAUUGGGGAGUAUGGACUACGUAAUAAGCGCGAGGUCUGGAGGGUGAAGUACACAUUGGCGAAGAUUCGUAAAGCCGCUCGUGAACUGCUUACUCUUGAAGAGAAGGACCCAAAACGUCUCUUCGAAGGAAAUGCUUUAUUGCGUCGACUGGUUCGUAUCGGAGUCUUGGAUGAGAGCCGCAUGAAGCUCGAUUACGUCCUGGGUCUGAAGAUCGAAGACUUCUUGGAGAGACGUCUACAGACUCAGGUCUUUAAGCUUGGACUUGCGAAGUCUAUCCAUCAUGCACGAGUUCUGAUUCGUCAGAGGCAUAUUCGAUACGAAGACUGUUUAUCCACCUGGCUGCAAGGCGUAUCUUGAUGUUAAUCUCACGUUUCGCGCCUACCAUUGAAACUGCUAGAGCCGAAUCAAUCGUUUUAUUUCAAACAGACCACUUAAGUGUCAGACAAUGUCUGCCACUUAACGUCUGAUUUUUGAUGCUCUCCGGGCCAUUUAUACCAUUGAGUGAGGAAGCAAGUAGUGAACAUUCCUUCCUUCAUCGUUCGACUCGACUCGCAGAAGCACAUCGACUUCUCCCUGAAGUCGCCCUUCGGUG